UCCAACCUAGAAUUCACUAUCUCAACUACCAAACACUUCCAAUCGUCUCCAAUUAUUCUCCCAAAAACUUCUCCACCACAACCAUGUCUACUUCUCUCCGCACAACCACCGCUGCUUCUCGUCUCCUCCGCUCCUCCUCCUCUUCCAGAUCCACACUCGCUCUCUCCGCUUCCUCUUCUCCCUCCGCUUCCUCUUCUCUCUCUUUCGCUGUCUCCGCUUCUCUCUCUCGUCUCUUCUCGACUUCUCUAUUCUUCAUCUCUCAAUCAGGUAUGCCUCACUCUCUCUUCUAAAUCUUAUCCUUAUUGUUUGAUGCAGCUUGUGUGUUCUUUCUUUAUGCUUAUUGUUUGAUGCAGAUUCGUGAGUCCAUGUUUGGUUUAAUGUGAAAUCGAGCAUAGAUUCGUAACAAGUGGUAUCAGAGCCUCAUGUUUUGAGGAAAUCUUUGAAGUUUGUAAAAGAAAACCAAGAAAGUUUCAAGCUUUGUUGAAGAAACUGCAAAAGCUGAUGAAUGCGAGAGCUGUGUACCUCGGUGAGGCGGAGCAAGUGCCUACCAAAGACGACAAAGAGCUUGAACUCGAAAUCGUUAGAAACUUGAGGAAGAGAUGCGUUGAGAGCCAGCGUCAAAUAUCUGUAGCAGUGGAAGCAUUCCCUCUCGAAUUUCAGGACCAGCUUAAUCAAUACAUGGAUAAGAGGAUAAACGGAGAUUUAAUCCACCUGAUUCAAUAGCUAGGAUAAAGCUUGAGUUUGCCUUAGGAUUCUCUAGUUGUAAUAGAUGUUGGUCUCCAUCGGGUUCAUGGGAAGUCUGCUGACUUGUAGCUUGAAUAUCUUCAUCAUGUGGAAAGCUUUUGAACCAAUUCUACUUCUGCGUGAUUCCUUGAUGAGUUAAGUUUCUGGUAUAAGUGGAUUUGUAGCUUAAUUCCUCUUGGUUAGGUUGAUAUGCUUCUUGAAAGGAACAUAUGUAUUUGGUACGCUUAGGUUGGUUCUCUCCAAGGGUUUUUAAAACCAAGUCAUGGUUUGGUAGCAUACGCCGGAGAAAUUGAAAUCGAAUCUUUGUUUAUGUAUAGUAAAGUGGGUCUUUUGUUUAUGUACUUUGGUGAUAUUUUGGUACAACUGUAAUUAUUAGGUACAACUGUAAAUAGAAAUUAAAAUUAUUUAAGGUA